GACGAACGCUGGCGGCGUGCUUAACACAUGCAAGUCGAACGGAAAGGCCCUGCUUUUGUGGGGUGCUCGAGUGGCGAACGGGUGAGUAACACGUGAGUAACCUGCCCUUGUCUUUGGGAUAACUUCAGGAAACUGGGGCUAAUACCGGAUAGGAGCUCCUGCUGCAUGGUGGGGGUUGGAAAGUUUCGGCGGUUGGGGAUGGACUCGCGGCUUAUCAGCUUGUUGGUGAGGUAGUGGCUUACCAAGGCUUUGACGGGUAGCCGGCCUGAGAGGGUGACCGGCCACAUUGGGACUGAGGUACGGACCAGACUCCUACGGGAGGCAGCAGUGGGGAAUAUUGCACAAUGGGCGGAAGCCUGAUGCAGCAACGCCGCGUGCGGGAUGACGGCCUUCGGGUUGUAAACCGCUUUCGCCUGUGACGAAGCGUGAGUGACGGUAAUGAGUAAGGAAGCACCGGCUAACUACGUG
rnacentral:rRNA from 1 species